rnacentral:rRNA from 1 species
AUGGUGUCAGUUCCUCAACCAUGGGUGUCAUGCCCUGUCUGGUGCUGUUUUGGAUCCACUUUCCUGUCAGUGUCUAGUGGUUGCGUUGUCUCUAAGCUAGCACUGUGUCUGGCCCUGCUCACGAUUUUUUGGCCCGUGCUGGGCCAUAUACAUCUCCAGCACAAUAUAGAAGUUACUUUUUAUAACAACUCCAUGUACCAGAGCCCAGCCAUGUCCCGCGACCCGUCCCCAACCCAGCCGCCCCACCAUCCCGGCGCCGGCCACGGCGGCAGCGGCGGCCACCAACCCCCCGUGCCCUUGCCUGCUGCCGCCUCCUCAUUUACUUGA